CCGCUCAUGUCCACAAUAAUGAGAAAUGGUGACGAGUACAGUACUCAAAAUAAAAACUCUAACUCACUUUAAAUUUAAAUGUCGUACAAUAACAUUGUUUAUUCUCUUUAAUUUUCCUCACAAACUAGAUCUCUCACUUCUCUCCACACCUGAGUCUAAUAGUUUUCCUUGUAUACUAACUUGUAUAUAUUGUACAAAGAAAGCCUCAGCAGAGACUUCACCAUUAAGAGCAAUAGUUUUCCUAUAUAUAUAUAUAUAAGAGAAAACAAAUUAAAGGAGGAUCAUAAAUUUGGAUAUAUAAUAGCGUAAAUAUGGAUAAGCUCUUCCAUGUGUGCAGCAUCAUCACCGAAAAGUUGGUCAUUGCUGUCAUGCCCAUGAUAUCUGUGACAAGAAGGAUGAUGGUGAUGGUACCUGAAUGGACGGGUAAUGAUCCUGAAGACAGAGCAAGGCGAGAUGAAAAAGUAGUCGAAAAUAUAAUGAAGACAGCUCAAAAUGCAUUUAGUUGUGGUCACCCUAUCACUAUUAAAAAAACUAAAAAAAAGAGAUCUAAAAAAAGAGACCUCAAAAAUAGGUCGCUAAAACGAGACCUCAUGACGUCACAAUUUAAAUCUAAAUUUUAUUUUAUUUUAUUUUUUAAAUAACAGACCUUAUGAGGUCGAUUAUAUAUAUAAAUAAUUUAAUAUAGAUCACUUAUUUUAAAAGUUAUUUUUACAGCUACUUUGCCUCAAAUAUGUCAUCUCACGAGGUCUCUAUUUGGGAAAAUAAAAAAUAAAAAAUAAAUUUUUGAGACUUCCCAAUGCCUCCUUUUUUAGUCAAAUUUGAUCAAUAAUAUUUUGAAACAAGAGACUUCAUGAGGUCUCUUAUUUUCAAAUAUUAUUGAUCAAAUUUGACUAAAAAAAGGAAAUAAUUAAAAUAAAGAAAACAAUUAAAAUAAGAAAAACGAAUUAGACUUGUCACACGUCUUCCCCAAAAUAUUAUAUCACAUAAAAAAAAGCUAUAUCUCCCGCUCUUCUCUCUCCCACAAUUCAUUCUCCCAUGGUUUAGCUUACCGCCAGCCACCAGCCACGCUCGUAGACGACACUACAGCGCCGUUCGUCCUGCCACCAGCCGCGCUCAAUCACUUAGUUGAAGCAUUAAUUUUUGUCGAUCAAUGAGAAAUCCAUCUGUCGAUUUUCAACAGAUCCCCAAAAAUCUUACUACAGCCUUGCGGUCGACUCUUCCGGUUAGUUAUAAAUUCGUUGUAAAAAAUGGAUAUGCUUUUUGUUAGGUUCGUUGUACUUGUUACUUUGGCUUUAAGAUGUUGUGAAUUUGAUGUAAAUUUAGAACUAAUAUCAUUUUGGCUCAUGUCGUUGUAUGUAUUUAGUUGUUUUAAAUUGAAAAAUAUAUGGAUUAGAUGUUUUUGCUGAUAAUUGACAAUUAAGAUGACAACUAUUGAGAGAACUAUGCUUUUGUAGUCAGCAUAGAUACAUUUAUUCUUUUGCACAAGGCCUCGUUAACCAAUCCCUAAAAGGAUUGUUACAAUUAAUAUUUCAGCAAAUUAUUACAUAUUCUAGUGUUUGAUAAAUUCAAAAUUUUGUGAUUUUUAUGUAGAUGGAUCGUAGUUGGAUGUGUAAUAUGAUUAAUUUUGAUCGAAUGGGUCUAAGACCUGAAUUUGUAGAAGGUGUCACUGCUUUUGUGGAGUAUGCAAAGACAUUAGAUCCUUUCAACGUAGUGGUAUGAUUAAGUGUCCUUGUAAUAAAUGCCAAUGUUUGAAUUAUAAAAAAUCAGAUAUUGUUGAGCUUCAUAUCUAUCGAAAUGAGUUUAAAAAAAAUACACAGUGUGGACUAGUUAUGGAGAAAUUGAUAAUAGUUUUGAUGUAUUUCAACAUUAUAUUCCUAAUGAUAGUAGUAGCAUUGUGAAUUCUAAUGCACAAAAUUAUAGAAUGCAUGACAUGGUUCAAGAUGUUUUUAGGGUGUAUUCUGAUUUUGAUUCUGGUAAUCAAGGUGAAGAAGCUCCUAAUACUGAAUGUAAAAUUUUCUUUGAACAGUUGGAAGCUGCUAGUCGACCUUCAUAUGAGGGGAGUCCACAUUCGCAGUUGUCUAUUGUGGUUAGAUUACUAAGUAUCAAAUCAAAUUGGAAUAUUCCUCAAGGGCCAAUAGACUCUAUGAUUGACCUUAUUCAUGAUUUAGUUGACCCAAAUCUAGAGAUACAUGAUAAUUUCUAUAAGUCAAAGAGGUUGGUAUCAAAGUUAGGAAUAUCAUCGAUGAGAAUUCAUUGUUGUGGAAAUGGUUGCAUGUUAUUCUAGAGGGAUGAUAUUAAUCUAGAAUCGUGUAAGUUUUGUGGAAAAUCUCGUUAUAAGCAGACUGCUAGUGGCGAGAAAGUUUCUAUUAAGGCAAUGCAUUACUUACCUCUUAUACCAAGGUUAAAGAGGUUGUAUGCAUCUAAUAGAUCUGCUCCUCAUAUGAGAUGGUACCAUGAAAAUAGAAGAGCACCUGGAGUUAUGUGUCAUCCAUCCGAUGGAGAGGCCUGGAAGCAUUUUGAUAGAACAUAUCAAUAGUUUGCAACCGAACCACGGAAUAUUAGAUUGAGUUUAUGUUCAGAUGGAUUCACGCCACAUUCUGUUUCUGCUGCAACAUAUUCUUGUUGGCCUGUAUUUGUAACACCAUAUAAUCUUCCACCUGAGAUGUGUAUGACCAGUACAUAUAUAUUUCUCAAUUGUGUCAUUCCUGGCCUACGUAAUCCAAAAGUCUUGAUUGAUGUAUACUUGCAACCUUUGAUUGACGAGUUGAAACAAUUGUGGGUUUAAGGGAUUGAAACAUUUGAUAUGUCUCUUAAGCAAAAUUUUAGUUUGUGGGCUGCCUUAAUCUGGACUAUUAUUUCCUGCAUAUGGAAUGUUGUCAGGGUGUAUGACAGCGGGAAAGCUACCUUGUCCUUACUGUAUGAAAAAUACUAAAUCAUUCACUUUGAAGCAUGGUCGUAAAAAUUCUUGGUUUGAUUGUCAUCGACAGUUCUUGCCAAUGGAUCAUGAGUUUAGGAGUAUGAAAAAUGUAUUCAGAAAGAAUACUGUUGAACAAGGUUGUCCUCCUCCAAUCUUGACUGGAGAACAAGUUUGGGAGAGGGUUCAACACUUUCCAAAGGUUACAGAAGAACAACCCUACAAAUUUGAUGGAUAUGGUGUUGCACAUAACUGGACAAUACAAAGCAUAUUCUAAGAGUUACCAUAUCGGAAGAAUAAUCUUCUUCGACAUAAUUUUGAUGUCAUGCAUAUUGAAAAAAAUUACUUUGAUAAUUUAUUUAACACAAUAUUGGAUGUCAAUGGCAAGACAAAAGAUAAUGUUAAAGCUAAAAUAGACUUACCAGAAUAUUGCAGGCGAAAAGAGUUAUGGUUGCAAGAGAAAUAUAACAAGAAGUUCUUCAAGCCCAAGGCUAGUUAUUCAUUUACAUUGGAUCAAAAACGUAAAAUAUGUGAAUGGAUCGAGCAACACAAGAUGCCUAAUGGACAUGCUUCAAAUUUAGGUAAAUGUGUCGAUAUGGAGCAUGGAAAUUACGUUGUAUGAAAAGUCAUGAUUGUCAUGUCUUUAUGGAAACAUUACUCCCCAUUGCAUUUAGUGGCUUGCCCGAUAGAAUUUGGAAACCUAUGACUGAAAUUAGUUUUUUCUUCAAGGACUUGUGUUAUAAUACGUUAAGGGAAGACAACCUAGUUCAGAUGGAUCAGAAUAUUCCUAUAAUUACAAAUAAGUUGGAGAAGAUUCUUCCACCUGGAUUUUUCGAUGUGAUGGAGCAUCUUCCUAUACAUCUAGUGCAUGAAGCACGCCUCAAAGGUCCGGUUCAAUAUAGAUGGAUGUAUCCAUUUGAGAGGUAAGGUUUAACUCAUAAAAUUUUUAUAUUAAUAUGUUAUUUAAAUCAAUGACAAUAUAAUAUAAAGUAGGACUAUUGGAAAGUCUAAACGGGGCAUGAAAAAAAUCAUAGACUUGAAGGCUCAAUGAUUCAAUUCCAUUUUGCUAGGGAGAUAACUGAUUUUGGUUCUUAUUACUUUGAAAGUUGUGUGCCAUGCUUUCAAAAUAGAUCCAAUCGCCAUGACGAUGGUGGUGAGACUAUGAAGCCACUAUCAAUCUUCAAUCAACCAGGCAAAGGUUAGAGGAAUCUUAGUGCCAUUGAGUUUCAGUCUGCAUCUACACAUGUCUUGUUGAAUUUCCCACAAGUUAAACCAUUUCUUGAGUAUUUUUUUUUUUGCACUAGAAUAUGUAAUUACAAGGCAAAACAAUCAACUCUAUAUCCAUCUUAUUUGACAGUUACUUUGUGCAUUUAUAUGGCAAUGAAAAAGUGUUUGAGCAUUUCUCAAAGUGGUUUCAAGAUUACAUAAGCCUUAUAAUAUUUUCAUAAUACUAUCAUUAUUAAAUAAAUCUAUAUUUAAUUGAAGCUAAUAUCCUACUUUUCAAAUAUUCAUAGAUUUAUGACACAAAAAAUGGCCAGUUUGAUUAAUUUUUGAAGGACCUUUCUUGGGGACCCAUCAAGAUUAAUUCGAUGAACAAGUAUAUUGUCAAUGGUUUUAAAUUCAAUACUGUAGAAUACUCCAAAUAUAUAAAACUAACAAUAGUGGAGUUUGGGUGAAAGGCAGUGAUGGAAAUUAAGAUGGAGUUGAUUAUUAUGGGGUACUCAAGGAGAUUUUGGAAAUGGAGUUAACUGGUUGGCCUACAAAAAAAAUUGUAUUGUUUAGAUGCAAGUGGUUUGAUCCAACUCCAAAAAGAGGUACGAGAGAAAUCAGAAAAUAUAAUAUCAUUGAAGUAAAGCACACGAUAAUAUGAAGCAUUUGACCCUUUUAUUAUUACACAAAAUGUUAAGCAAGUGUACUAUGCUCCUUAUCCUAUGCGUCCAGAUAAAGCUGAUUGGUGGGUGGUGAUUAAAAUCAAACCCAUGGGUCGUGUGGAAGUUGAAAACACGUUGGAUGUUGCAUACCAAGAUGAUGAUUUAUCAAGUGUUCACCACACCGUGGAUGUUAAAUUAGAAAAUGAUUUAGAGCAUCCUAAACACAUAUUAAGAGAUUGAUAUAGAAGAAAUAACAGAUGAAGGAGAAAAUGCAUCAAUUAAUGAGGAAGAUUGGAUAGAUGAAGAAGAAUUGUCGGAAGAUGAGGAUGAGGAUGAGGAUAAGGACGAGGAUAAGGAUGCAGAUGAUGAUGAAGACGAGGACGAGGAUGAGGAUGAGGAUGAGGAUGAGGAAGAAUAAUAAUUAGUAUGAAGUAACGUUCUCCUUCUCUUUGAGCACACUUAACAAAUAUAUUAGAAUUUGUAUGCUUUCUCUGUAAGAUGAAAAUUAUCCCCCCCAAAAAAAAAUCAGAAUAACUAGAACAUGUAUAUGUGCAUAACUCUUCUACCCCAAUCUUGAAUAAGAUAACUUGGUUUCCUGAGAACUUGAAAUUUACUUAUUUUUUCGUUGAAGUUGCUCUUAUUUGAUAGAUGAACUGACAUAACAAACAUUCAUGAAUAUACCAAAAUACACCCGUAGUUAAUUUAGUUUCACCGUUAGUUGAUUUUAAUUGAGACUUUACUUGUUACAUAAAUAUCUAACCUUAUUUUGACUUGAAUGUUUUUGUUACUAAUUAGAUGGUAGGUGGAAAUAAGAAUAAAGAUAUUGAUAAUUUCCCUAAAAAGAAAAAAAGAAAGAUGGUAUAGUUAGCAGACGACCGACAGGGAUACAUAUAAGAUUAGACACCACCACAUCUCUCCCACCAAGAGACACUCCGACACAUUGCUAUUCUAGGCAGACCGAGCCAGACAAUCUUGUGUCUCCAUAUAUUAAUCCUCCUUCGACCUAUAUGCAUCCACCAUUGGAAUAUACUCAGCUGCCCCCUUAGGUGCCUGUGAUGAUGCCUACAUCAGGGUAUGAUACCCCACAUGGACACAAUGUUCUGCCUCCAGAAGCUAAUCGGCCAACGUCUAGUGUCUCUCGCACUAGAACUCACAACCCUGCAGACUCACAACCUUCAUCAUCAUCUACUUCACAACUUGGAAUUUCGAGUCUUCGUAUUCAAGUUUCAAUCCAGAUGAUGCUAUGGGGAUCUUUCUCAGGCAAUCAAAGAUCUCUAUAGAGAUGCUUUUCCUACUUGGUUCAAGAUGCCAAGCAAUCUGAAGAGACAAAUAUUUUUGGAGUUCAGGAAACAAUAUGCUUGGAGUCCGAAACAUGAGGCCAAAAUUUGUGCAAACUUUGAAAAGGAAGUUGCGCGUGUUCUUGCUAGUUUGUUGAAUAAAGCUCGUAGAAAUAAUUAGAAACUUAAGUGGAUUUUAUUGGAUGAUUGGAAAAUUAUUACUAGUGCAUUGGGCAAAUGAUCCAAGAUUUUAGCAAAUGAGUAAGAUCGGUAAGAAGGCAAGAUCAUAUACUAAGGGUGGUUCUCUACACACAAGUGGGGCUCAAAGUCAAGGAAGUGUAAGGAGGAAAUUGGAAAAGGAACUAGGAAGACCGGUAACUCAUACCGAGGCAUUCAAGGCAUCACACAUAAGAAAGAAGAAAAAUCCCGAAGAUCCAGACGUGUGGGUUGAGCCGCGAGCUGAAGUGACCUAUGUAAGACUCUAAUUUAAAAUAAUAGUAACUUAUUUUUUAAACUUAUAAUCUAAUAUUAAUACCAUUCAAUGUAAAAUCGAUAUCUUCAAACUUUAGAGGAUUUACGACAAACUUAGCCAAAAGAAAAAUCGAAGUAUGCCACUUACUCAAGAACAUGCUAAGAGAGUAUGGUUAGACUUGAUUGAUGGACCGAGUAGAUAUGGGUAUGGAUAUGAAAUGCCGCAACAAACAUUUCUUGAAUAUUCUUCUGAGUUUGAAGGCCUAAAUAGUUCCUAUGAUGAUGAAUCGAUGAAGAAAAAUUUGGCUAUGGAGCAAAAGAUUGUUGAGCUAUCUAGCCAAGUUGAACACUCGCGGGCUAGGGAAAGGCGACGGGACUUAGAGUUUGUGGAUCUUAAGGCUCAAUUCGAUGCAUUACUUGCAUCGGGAGGGAUUCCCCCUUGCUCCAGUGACGUCACUUUCCCUCCUCGACCCCCUCAAUCUCAACUUACUCGAUUUCCAGUGUAUGGUCAACAAAGAAAUAUGACAGAUGAGUCUAGUAGUGAUGAAGAAGAUGAUGAUCAUGUGACAAACAGACUACCACAAUAGUGAAGUUUAGAGUUGUGAUAGAUAAUCUAAGUUCUUUACUUUAUAAUUUUGUUAUGGGAGUUAUUUGUUUUGUGAAUGCAUGAUAACAUUGAAAUAUAUUAUAUUAAACUUAUGGAUAUUGUGGUUUUUGUUUAAUUUCGACAAUG